GUCUCAUUCGAUGGUGCGGCCAUCAUGUGGGAGAAAGAUGCUCACAUGGAGUUUUAUUGAGCGUCUCCUUUGACCAGUCCUUCCCCUGGUGAGGUACGCAGCUGACCACACUCCCUGGGACUUCUCCCAAGGUGCCCGGGUGUCCUUGGCACAUGCAGUCAUCAUGAUGGCACCUGAAAUGGAGGCUGAAUCAUCUCUCCUUUGAGCUGCACAGCACCUGGCUCCCCUGGUGUUCCCAAUUUACCUCUGGGACACUGAGAUUUGGAGAGGGGCGAAGACUUGUGGACUUCCAUUUGGGAUGCCAAACCCCCACGUCCAUAGUGUGAGAGUCCAGAGGAUUAGACCUCGGAUCACGAAUCCAAUAACCCUCGCCUUUAACUGCCUGCGUGGGAGACUCAGGGCCAGCAGUUGCAACUACCCUUUUGCUACCUCUG